rnacentral:rRNA from 1 species
AUUGAACGCUGGCGGCAGGCCUAACACAUGCAAGUCGAGCGAGCGGCGGACGGGUGAGUAAUGUCUGGGAAACUGCCUGAUAGAGGGGGAUAACUACUGGAAACGGUGGCUAAUACCGCAUACCAUCGGAUGUGCCCAUAUGGGAUUAGCUAGUAGGUGGGGUAAUGGCUCACCUAGGCGACGAUCCCUAGCUGGUCUGAGAGGAUGAUCAGCCACACUGGAACUGAGACACGGCCCAGACUCCUACGGGAGGCAGCAGUGGGGAAUAUUGCACAAUGGGCGCAAGCCUGAUGCAGCCAUGCCGCGUGUAUGAAGAAGGCCUUCGGGUUGUAAAGUACUUUCAGCGGGGAGGCGUUACCCGCAGAAGAAGCACCGGCUAACUCCGUGCCAGCAGCCGCGGUAAUAC